CCAACUGCCCUCCGUGAAAGUCUCCCGCACAAAAUGCAGAAAGCGCUCCAUGUAAGGCUCCGGCUCGAGGGUAUCCAAUAU
rnacentral:RNase_MRP_RNA from 12 species